rnacentral:lncRNA from 1 species
AACCAGGAGUGUAUUACAGUCAUCCAAACAACAGAUCUUUAUUAAAUGAGUGAUCUUUAUGUUCUGUGUACUCACCAGGUACCAGGCAUCAUUAAGGAAAGCUUUGGGUUUUGUGUUGAAUAUUUUCACAAUCAUAUGAGAGAGGAGAAACAGCCUCAGAGAAGUCAAGUUCAUUGCCUAGGCCCACACAGUUUACAGAGGACAGAAUCGCAAUUUGAGCCUCUCUCUGCCCUUUUCCAAGCCCUGGGUAGUCUACGACAUGUUAUCAAGCUUCAUGACUGCAGCAUUCUCAACAUUAACUGGAGAACUCUUCAAAAACAACAGAAGGUCAUUCAAAAUCAGACAGAUGAAGCAUCAGGUUAGCUGUGAUAACAAAUAAACCCCCAGCUUUAACAGCUGAAUGCAUUAGAAUUGAUUUCUCACAUAAUAGCCAAAGAAUAGCAUGCCUGACUGGGGGUCCCGGACUCCUAUGACCACUGCCAGACCUUUCUCUUCAUCCAUGAAUCCUGGUCUCAAAGGCUUCUGCACCCAACAACAGACAAGAAAAUGGAAAGAGCCAAGGCCCAGCCCACACCUUCAAAGUCUUGUUGCAGAAGUGGGUCACAUCUUGUGACAGGCAUCUCAUAUCUACACCUGAAAAGACGCAUGGAAGGUAAAGUCCUUGGCUGGGUUCCUUCCUACUGGCAACCACUCCACACCAUACAUGGAAGAAUAUGGGUUUUGGAUACACGAUCAUUGAUCUCAACCAAAGAGCUUUUUUCUGAUUCGGACCAAAGUGAUUUCUUCUGUGGAAACCUAAAUUGACAGUGAAGUUGGAGUUCUUCUAUAGAAACGUGCUACAAAUACAGAUGCGCCUCAAAUACUCCAGAGUACCCAACCAGCCGAUGGAAGACCAGCAUGAGAAACUUGAGUUCAAAAAGUUUCUCACUGUGGUCCUGUCGAGCCACCUGUUGUAACAUAGAGUAUGUGCCCAUACCUAAUCAGGCUGCAAGGCUCAUAAAUGUAGCUGUCUGGGUCUUCUUUCUCCCCACUAAGUGCCUGUAGCUCUUCGAAUGUUCUUAAUAGAGCAUGGUUUUCAGACUUCACCAUCAUGUGUUUUCUCCACUGAAAGCGUAUCAUUUGUCACGGUCCCAAAAGUAUUUGACCCUGCCAAAUGAAUACAGUUUCCAUACACAUGGCAGGCUAUCCCAUUUGGUGUCAUCCUUUCUAAAUUAUCCUAACCGAGCUUGCACUUUGUCCUUCACCUCUGUUUUCUUCUUUUUUCUAGAUUUUAGUUUCUUUAUUCACACAUCGUAAACCAGCUGAUAUCUUUAGUCUCCAUUUGUCUGCAUCAUUGUUAUUUAAAUUCCUGCCAGUCAUUUUCUGGACUGCCACCAAAUUAGCAUUCUUGCAAGGGCUGUUCAGAAAGUUCAUUUACAAGGUGUUUUUAUGGAACUGAUUUUAAGAGAUGACAAGUAAUCCCUAUAAGUAUUGAAACAGCAGCCGAUUGCUGCUCUCCCACAUUCUCCAACAGACUUACACACUGGUUAUAAUGCAGUGCCAGCUUUUUUAUACCAGCUGAGUAAAAAUUGCAGAGCCCUUGGUUAUUAAGUCAGCUUCAUAUCAUAUCAAUGAACAAACUGUAUGGAGUCCCAAGCUUGCUGCAAAUAAUGUCUCCAAGAGACAGAAUGAAUGUUGCUGGAAACUGGGACACAUACUUUCUCACUUCUUCCAGCAUUGAUUUGUAUAUGCUUUGUCCUCAGAGCAUUCGCAGAUCUUUGGGUUAUAUCCCUUUGCUCACUCCUCUGCUACUUCCUCCCAGAACUGGGCAUGUCAUUCUGAUAUACUUUCAAUUAAAAAUGCUUUUGCCAUAAAUUUAAACAAGUUGACCAUGAAAUUCUGCAGCAGAAGCCACUUUUUUUUUCACUAAAAAAAAAGGAAACACAUGUUAUAAAAGAACAUUUAAUGAGAUGGAAAAAUAUUCAAGAUAUAUUGGUAGGGGAAAAAAGCAGAUUUCUAAAGCACAAACACAAUAUGAAUCAUAUUUGAAAUAUGGAAUGUAUAGUAUACAUGAAGGCAUAGCGCACAAGAAACUCCAGGGUAUUCCUCUCCAGUCUCUCAGACACUCUCAGGUGUAACAUCUUCUGAAGAAAAUUUUUUCCUUCUUUAUUCUUAGUUUUCUUUUUUUAAAAAUUAAUACAUGUUUGUAGUACAUAGUGAUUAUAUUUGUCAUGGGGAGUUGAACAUUAAUAAAGACAAAAUUUAUCGGGUCAUUUA